AGAAAUGGGCUGACCCAAAGCCUCUUGGAACAGGUAGAAAGUUUAUAUCAGCUAUUCUUUUACAGGGGAAAGAACAACUCUGGGGACUGAAGACUUUUUUGUACUUUACUGUUAGAACCACAUUUAGCACUUGCACUUCAUCAGGGAAAAUGGUUUAAGUUAACCAGAACCAAAUUUGAGAAAGAAGAAGGACACAGUGCAAAUGUUCCUAAGUAUUCUCAGGUUUUGGAGAGAAAUAGAAGAUUAAAAAAUAUCUACUAUUA